rnacentral:rRNA from 1 species
AUACGUAGGGGGCUAGCGUUAUCCGGAUUUACUGGGCGUAAAGGGUGCGUAGGUGGUUUCUUAAGUCAGGAGUGAAAGCCCACGGCUUAACCGUGGAGGGUCAUUGGAAACUGGUCGACUUGAGUGCAGAAGAGGGAAGUGGAAUUCCAUGUGUAGCGGUGAAAUGCGUAGAUAUUAGGAGGAACACCAGUAGCGAAGGCGGCUUUCUGGACUGUAACUGACACUGAGGCACGAAAGCGUGGGGAGC